AUUGAACGCUGGCGGCAGGCCUACCACAUGCAAGUCGAACGAGUGGCGGAAGGGGGAGUAAUGUCUGGGAAACUGCCAGAUGGGGGGGGAGAACUAAUGGAAACGGUAGCUAAUACCGCAUACCAUCGGAUGUGCCAAGAUGGGAUUAGCUUGUAGGUGAGGUAACGGCUCACCUAGGCGACGAUCCCUAGAUGGUCUGAGAGGAUGACCAGCCACACUGUCACUGAGACACGGUCCAGACUCCUACGGGAGUCAGCAGGGGGGAAUAUUGCACAAUGGGCGCAAGCCUGAUGCAGCCAUGCCGCGUGUAUGAAGAAGGCCUUCGGGUUGUAAAGUACUUUCAGCGGCGAGGCGUUACCCGCAGAAGAAGCACCUGCUAACUCCGUGCCAGCAGCCGCGGUAAUUC
rnacentral:rRNA from 1 species